UUCUUCUGCAUUAACAGAAAUCUGCUAUAAUUGUGUGAUUCAGAUUGAUCUGUUUCAUGCAAUAAUGCUAGCAGAGUAUUGCGUGGAAGGAGAUUGUGCUCUGUGUUGGAAAUGAGAUGUGGUCGAACCUCUUUCUUAAUGUUCGUUGGCCUCCAUCUCAAGGCUCAGUGCAACAAUU